CAAUUAAAUUACUCCUCAUUUUGAUAGUAGCCUGAAACAAUAAUAAUAAUUAUUACCAUCAUCUAUAUUUAUACAUAUUUAUAACUAUACAUUAUUUUCAUAAAAUUUGUCAUAUAAUAGUUUAUCUUUUACUCUUAUCUUUCUGCCCCUUUUUCAUUUUCUGACACUUCGCCUUCCCACCCGCUAUUUCUGCCGGAUACUUCGUCUUUUCACCUUUCUACUUUCUAAUUCACGUGUUCUCGUGAUCUAUUGUUAUUUAAACAAAUCACUUUCGUAAAAAGCGAAAAAAAAAAAAGAUCUUUUCGUACUUUUUUUUUAUACUAUUUGUAUUUAUUAAUAUCUCCAGACAAGUCAAAUUUUUUCUGAAGUUUUACUUUAUCAAACUUUCAUUCAUUUAUAGUAUUAGUUCACCGUAAUGCGUGAAUAACUUCACGUAAAUUAUA
rnacentral:lncRNA from 1 species